UCUAGUAGCUGGUUCCCUCCGAAGUUUCCCUCAGGAUAGCUGGUGCAUUAUAAAAUUAUGUUAAAUAAUCUUAUCUGGUAAAGCGAAUGAUUAGAGGCCUUAGGGUCGAAACGACCUUAACCUAUUCUCAAACUUUAAAUGGGUAAGAACCUCACCUUUCUUGAUAUGAAGGUUGAGGUUAUGAUAUAAUGUGCCCAGUGGGCCACUUUUGGUAAGCAGAACUGGCGCUGUGGGAUGAACCAAACGUAAUGUUACGGUGCCUAAAUUAACAACUCAUGCAGAUACCAUGAAAGGCGUUGGUUGCUUAAAACAGCAGGACGGUGGACAUGGAAGUCGUAAUCCGCUAAGGAGUGUGUAACAACUCACCUGCCGAAGCAACUAGCCCUUAAAAUGGAUGGCGCUUAAGUUGUAUACCUAUACAUUACCGCUAAAGUAGAUGAUUUAUAAUACAAAUUUCUUUUGAAUUAUGAAUUUUGAAACUUUAGUGAGUAGGAGGGUACAAUGGUGUGCUUAGAAGUGUUUGGCGUAAGCCUGCAUGGAGCCGCCAUUGGUACAGAUCUUGGUGGUAGUAGCAAAUAAUCGAAUGAGACCUUGGAGGACUGAAGUGGAGAAGGGUUUCGUGUGAACAGUGGUUGAUCACGAGUUAGUCGGUCCUAAGUUCAAGGCGAAAGCCGAAAAUUUUCAAGUUUUAAUGC
rnacentral:rRNA from 1 species